UACGUAGGGUGCAGGCGUUAAUCGGAAUUACUGGGCGUAAAGCGUGCGCAGGCGGCUUCCUAAGUCAGAUGUGAAAUCCCCGGGCUUAACCUGGGAACUGCGUUUGAAACUGGGAGGCUAGAGUGCGGCAGAGGGGGGUGGAAUUCCACGUGUAGCAGUGAAAUGCGUAGAUAUGUGGAGGAACACCGAUGGCGAAGGCGGCCACCUGGCCCGGCACUGACGCUGAGGCGCGAAAGCGUGGGGAGCAAACAGG
rnacentral:rRNA from 1 species